rnacentral:lncRNA from 1 species
GAAGAUCAACUUGGAAUCAUCAUCUUCAUUUCAUAAUAUCACCAUCUUCAUCAAUCUCCUUUUCUAUCUCUAAGAUGGGUUCUAGGUAGAACUUUAGGUUUAAAAGCUAGGGUUGAUGAACCAUGAAAUUGAUAGUAUGAUUGAUGAUAUUGUGAUGAGUUUCUCCAUGAAUCAUGUGAAUCUCCAUUGAUGAUUUUUCUACACGUGUUUCUUGUAUUUGUUGGAUUCUUGUGAUAUAAUGAUGUGGUUGUUGCUUUGAUU